GACGAACGCUGGCGGCGUGCUUAACACAUGCAAGUCGAACGGAAAGGCCCUGCUUUUGUGGGGUGCUCGAGAGGCGAACGGGUGAGUAACACGUGAGUAACCUGCCCUUGACUUUGGGAUAACUUCGGGAAACUGGGGCUAAUACCGGAUAGGCGCUCCUGCUGCAUGGUGGGGGUUGGAAAGUUUCGGCGGUUGGGGAUGGACUCGCGGCUUAUCAGCUUGUUGGUGGGGUAGUGGCUUACCAAGGCUUUGACGGGUAGCCGGCCUGAGAGGGUGACCGGCCACAUUGGGACUGAGAUACGGCCCAGACUCCUACGGGAGGCAGCAGUGGGGAAUAUUGCACAAUGGGCGGAAGCCUGAUGCAGCAACGCCGCGUGCGGGAUGACGGCCUUCGGGUUGUAAACCGCUUUCGCCUGUGACGAAGCGUGAGUGACGGUAAUGGGUAAAGAAGCACCGGCUAACUACGUGCCAGCCGCCGCGGUAACAC
rnacentral:rRNA from 1 species